rnacentral:rRNA from 1 species
AAAGACUGACGCUCAGGCACGAAAGCGUGGGUAGCAAACAGGAUUAGAUACCCUGGUAGUCCACGCCGUAAACGAUGUCUACUAGCAGCUUGACUCGUCAAGAGUCGUUUUGCGCAGCUAACGCAUUAAGUAGACCGCCUGGGGAGUACGGCCGCAAGGUUAAAACUCAAAUGAAUUGACGGGGGCCCGCACAAGCGGUGGAGCAUGUGGUUUAAUUCGAUGCAACGCGAAGAACCUUACCAUCCCUUGACAUCCAGAGAAUUUACUAGAGAUAGUUUAGUGCCUUCGGGAACUCUGAGACAGGUGCUGCAUGGCUGUCGUCAGCUCGUGUUGUGAAAUGUUGGGUUAAGUCCCGCGACGAGCGCAACCCUUAUCCUUAUUUGCCAGCGAUUCGGUCGGGAACUCUAAGGAGACUGCCGGUGACAAACCGGAGGAAGGUGGGGACGACGUCAAGUCAUCAUGGCCCUUACGGGAUGGGCUACACACGUGCUACAAUGGUAAGUACAGAGGGUUGCGAA